rnacentral:rRNA from 1 species
AGUCGAGCGGUUGAGGGGAGCUUGCUUCCCGAUUCAGCGGCGGACGGGUGAGUAAUGCCUAGGAAUCUGCCUGGUAGUGGGGGACAACGUUUCGAAAGGAACGCUAAUACCGCAUACGUCCUACGGGAGAAAGCAGGGGACCUUCGGGCCUUGCGCUAUCGGAUGAGCCUAGGUCGGAUUAGCUAGUUGGUGGGGUAAAGGCUCACCAAGGCGACGAUCCGUAACUGGUCUGAGAGGAUGAUCAGUCACACUGGAACUGAGACACGGUCCAGACUCCUACGGGAGGCAGCAGUGGGGAAUAUUGGACAAUGGGCGAAAGCCUGAUCCAGCCAUGCCGCGUGUGUGAAGAAGGUCUUCGGAUUGUAAAGCACUUUAAGUUGGGAGGAAGGGCAUUAACCUAAUACGUUGAUGUUUUGACGUUACCGACAGAAUAAGCACCGGCUAACUCUGUGCCAGCAGCCGCGGUAAUACAGAGGGUGCAAGCGUUAAUCGGAAUUACUGGGCGUAAAGCGCGCGUAGGUGGUUUGUUAAGUUGAAUGUGAAAUCCCCGGGCUCAACCUGGGAACUGCAUCCAAAACUGGCAAGCUAGAGUAGGGUAGAGGGUGGUGGAAUUUCCUGUGUAGCGGUGAAAUGCGUAGAUAUAGGAAGGAACACCAGUGGCGAAGGCGACCACCUGGACUCAUACUGACACUGAGGCGCGAAAGCGUGGGGAGCAAACAGGAUUAGAUACCCUGGUAGUCCACGCCGUAAACGAUGUCAACUAGCCGUUGGGAGUCUUGAACUCUUAGUGGCGCAGCUAACGCAUUAAGUUGACCGCCUGGGGAGUACGGCCGCAAGGUUAAAACUCAAAUGAAUUGAC